CUCUCUCUCUUAAAAUAUAUAAAGAUACUUAAAAAUGAAAUUUUAUAAUUAGGUUAUGUUUUUGUAAAACUUUUGGAAGUAUUUACAUGUAAUACUGUAAAAUAUGAGCAUAUUUCUUUUUUUCAGUCCACAGUCCAUGUGUUGGGGUUAAAUAAAAUCCCACAGAGCUCUACAGGAUGAAUCUUACUUCAUCAUCUAAUCUUCUCCUUGAAAGUAAAAUGGAUAAAAAUGGAGAAGCAAAAUAUAUCUAUGAGUCAUAAAGAAAAUAAUUCUAUCAGUCUGGGGUGGUUUAUGAAAGCACUAAAAAUGGGUUGGAGUAUGAAUUCAGAUAAGAAGCAAUUUCAUAAUCUCUACAAUGGUUAUUAUCCUGGUUUCAUUUUCUCUGCCAGGAAUGUUGGUCCCUGGGGAGAAAUGCAGAUAUUGGAUGAGUGCACUCCAGCUGGGAAGAACGCUAUUUAUCUUUCACGAUGAGUAGCUGAGAAGGGUACUAGCCAUUGGCGAACUCCCAGGAGUGAAGCAGAUGCGGUGGAGAGCAUGGAGAAUGGCACAGCUAAUUAUUACAACCUACUGCCUUCUGCAACUCCGUCAGACAUCACCAUGGACCUUUUUAUUCCCUAUGUUGUUAAUAACCAUUUUUAUGCCUUCACUAUUUUCCAUUAACUUAUUGUUUGUGGAAAUAAAUUCCCUGGUCAUAAUAACAAGAUAAACAAAUAAAAACGGCAGACAUUUUUCUACUGA